GAAGGAGCUCACCUUACCCAUCUUCUCCCAAGGGUUUGGCCAGCCUGAGACUCUGGAGGGCAAUGACAGCACCAGUGUGGUCCCUGCCUUUGAUCCUGAGCCAGUCAUUGCCCACUGCUUCAAGCAGUUCAAGCAGGAGGACUUCCACCUGCUGAAGAGCCACCAGCGGGUCAUCAUCGUGCCUACCCAGCAGGGACAGGCGCCCAUGGAUCGUGAGCCCCAGCCCCCACCACCUGCCCCCAACCUCAGAGUCCUGGGUUCUGGGGACAUCCCCGGGCUGAGGGAGAACAGGGCAGCCUGGCUGCACCACAGGGUGAAGCUGCGGAAGGAGCUGGAGGCCCUGGGUGACGUGACUCGGUGGCUGGAGAACAAGCCCAGCAUCACCCCCUUGGAGGCCAAGGUCCUGAACAUGCUCCAUGAGGAGCGAAAGGCCCAGCUUACGGUCGAGGUGACCACCACCACAGUCGCCAAGAAAAGAGGCCCCCGACGAGUGGUGCCCCAGCUUUGGCUGCCCAAGCCACCAGCCUUGUCGGCCCUGUACACCUACCUGCGCCACCGCAAAAUUCAGGUGCUGGAGCUGUUUGCCAAGGGCCUGGGCACACAGCGGAGAGUCCCCCGGGAGGAAUUCCUCACCACACUGAGGACGGUUGGGGUACCCCUGAAGCAGCAGGAGAUGGAGGAUGUGGUGAUCUACCUGAGCUCCCUCGAGAACCACCAUGACAUCACUAUGGAGGCCCUGGCCAGCACCUACAAGCAGUGGUCUCUGGCCCAGCUGAGGAGCACGGUACCCACCGUGCACAAGUGCUCUGUCCCGGCCCAGGGCAUGUCAUCCCCACAUCCCUGUAGGAAGGACCUGCUCAUGGUGCCCGAGUUCCCUGUGCCCAUGGAGGCUCGGCCCCUGACGCUGGAGGAGAUGGAGGAUGUGGGCAGGCACUACCGUGAGCGCAAGCGGCAGCUCAAGCUCCCCAUCCCCUCUAUCGAGUACACGGAGAGCUGCCGCCUGGUGCACAGUGGGGACGAGCGCGUGGACCAGCACUGCCUGCCAUCCACGGUGGCUGGUGAGGGCCAGGAGCUUCUGGACACAGCCCGCAUGGACGGCUUCCUGCUCUACUUGCGCUGUGGGCAGCAGUGUGCGGCCUCGGGCCUGCCAGUGACCAAGGAGGUCCUCACCCGAGCACUGCUGUACCCGGGGGACAGGAUAGUCUUCCAGGACACCCAAGUGCGCCCCAUCCGGCAGCCCGGCGGCUUCUACUCUGACUCGAGGGCCCUGGCCCCGCAUCUGGCCACACACAGGACCAAGGGACCGAGGCUGGGUCCCCAGAAGAGCAACAAGAAGACACCCAAGGAUGGCAGGAAGAUGCCCUUUAAAGAAGCUCAGGAGGGUACCAGGAAGCUGAAGGCAAGGAGACUCAGGGGGCCCCAGCGCACCCACCCCAAUGUCUUCUGGCCAGGCCACCUACUGGACAAGAUGCGGCUGUGCCUGCCCACAGAGGCCACUGACCGGAGCCUGGCACUGUUCAGCUGCAUCCAGCACAAGCGCCACGCCUACCAAGCCAUCUACCACCCUGACCGCUGGUGGCCCCUGAGGGAGGAGAACUACAUGAGCCGCACCUAUUACAAUUCCCCCAAGGUGUAUGCCAUCAACUAGAGUGGCUGGUGUCACCAUGACACGGCGGGGUCUGGCCAUGCUAAAGACACUGCGUCCCUGUCCCGGAGGAAUGUCACUGUGGCUCGUCCAGCCUUGGGCUUGCCAAAUAAACCAGCAAGAGCUUCUCUCACACGACCUGGGUCUCAGCCUAUGCGACUUGGAGCUCCCACCUUGGAGGACACAGCAGGCACUUUCCCUCAGACACCAACAGGGAGUCACCUUGGGUGGCAUCUCCGUGAGAUGAGGUGGCAGCUUGUCUCUCACCCCAAGGCUGAACCUCUGGGUUCCUGCUCCCAUCUCUUGGGGUUUCAGAGGCUGGGGAUGCCCUUGGUUCAUGAGCCUCCCUGGCCAGUCCAGCCGUCUCCCUCCUGGGCACAGCAUGUGGGCUGCCAUUAGCAGGGAUUCCAGCCCUACAUCCUGUGGGCCACACACAGCCCCAGGACCAGCACACCAGGUGUGGGGUAGAAACAGGCACAACCAGGUCUGAGCUGGGUGUGGUGGGUUAGGCCUGGAAUCCCAGCAUUUGGAAGGCUGAGGCAGGGUUGUGUGAGUUUGAGACCAGCCUGGGCUACAUAGUGAGACACUGUCUUAAUUUAAAAAAAAGAAAAAAAAAGGCCAAAACAUCCACCACCAACAAAAGACUCAUUAGUGGUACCUGUAUUAUAUUUGAGUUGAGGAAUCAAGGUUUUGUUUUGUUUUGUUUCCUCGUGGAAUUUGAUUUUCAAAAUGAUUUUUUUUUUGAGACACAGUCUCACUAUGUAGUUCAAGCUGGCUUUGAACUCACUAUGUAGACCAGGCUGACCUCUAACUCACGGCGAUCCUCUUGCCUCAGCCUCCCCAGUGCUGGGAUGACAGGCAUGUGCCACCAUGCCCAGCUUCAAAAUAAUUUUAAAAACAAAAACUAAGCCAAACAAUUCAAGAACAACAAUUUUAAAAUUAACUCUUUUUUUUUUGGUACCGGGGAUCGAACUCGGGUCCUUGUGCUUGCGCAGUAGGCGGUGAAACCACUGAGCUAAAUCCCCGGCCAACAAUUUUAAAAUUAGAUAGUUUAGCUGGAUGGUUAGAAAUGUGGACUUUGGAGUCAGGUUUGUUUUGUUUUUUGUUUGUUU
rnacentral:lncRNA from 1 species